AGCCCGCGGUUCCCUCAGACGUCUGUCCAUGUGGCUUUAACCAAGUUCAAAGUCACAUGGAGAGAUGGCUUUGGAACUGUGGGCU
ensembl:miRNA